rfam:Schistosoma curassoni strain Dakar, Senegal genome assembly, scaffold: SCTD_scaffold0000071
GCACUGCUGAAGAGUCCCAAACUAGGACGAAACGGCCGUCCAGUGC